UACGUAGGGGGCAAGCGUUGUCCGGAAUCAUUGGGCGUAAAGAGCGCGUAGGCGGCCCUGUAAGUCCGCUGUGAAAGUCAAGGGCUCAACCCUUGAAUGCCGGUGGAUACUGCAGGGCUAGAGUCCGGAAGAGGCGAGUGGAAUUCCUGGUGUAGCGGUGAAGUGCGCAGAUAUCAGGAAGAACACCCGUGGCGAAGGCGGCUCUCUGGGACGGUACUGACGCUGAGACGCGAAAGCGUGGGGAGCGAACGGG
rnacentral:rRNA from 1 species